GGUGCCGGACCGUGCGCGUGCUGCUGCUGAUAUGCCAUUCUCGCGGUUGACCUAGGAGGAUGGCAGCUCAAGCGCGGUGCCGUUGCCACCGCUGCCUCUCCCCUCUCCCAUCUCCCUCCGGCCGCCUCCCCCUCCCUCCCGAGCUCGUCGGCCGUCUCUCCCCUCUUUGCUGCCACCGGCCUCCUAGACUUGCUGAAGGGAAGAGAAGAAAAGAGUAGAAAGAAGAGAUGCGGAAUGAUCAGUUUACCACGAGCAUCUCUUCUUUCUACUCUUUGCUCAUCGGAAAAAAAAGAAUAAGUUUACCACGAGCAACGAAUGAUCAGUUUCUUAAAGACCAACAUUUCUUUGAGCUCCACCAGGGGCGGAGGACUCGGUAUGGCGAGGUGUGGCGCUCGCCAUACCUUGAUCCUCCCGCGAACCACCCCCCCUCCCCUCCCCGGGCGGCGGCCGCGUCUCCUUCCCGCACCGGCGCGAUCGACGAGAAGAGAGGGAGAGCGAGAAGCCGAGAACGCAGCGCGAGAGAGAAGCCGCGUGUGAGAGAGGCCAACCAAUUAGAUCCAUUGGGCUUGUUUUUGUGUAAAUGGGCCUUUUGACCAUGAAACCCUAAUCCAAAUUUCCCCAAUUCCCCAAUCUAUCUCCUCCCCAAUCCCCAAUUCCCCAUCUAGCAGCAGAAGAGCAAGCGGCGGCGCUGCGGUCUGCGGUGCGGACGACGGCCGACGGCGAUGGGGCGAGCGCCGGUGGGUGUGGGCCUGCUCAAGGUGGGGCGCAGCAGCCGGCAGGGGGUGGGGGCGGGGCUCGGUCGCGCCGCGCGCUGCGCGGCGGCGCAGCGGCGCGGUCGCGCGGUGCGGCGGCGCGGGGCAGAGGCACGACGCGGCGGUGGCCGGCCAGGCAGAGGCAGGCAGGCGCAGGCGCAGUGCAGGGCGCAGGCAGGCGGCAGUGAGAGGCUCAGAGCCAGGCACAGGCAGGGAGGACAGCAGAGCAAGAAAAUGGAUAGAAAGAGGAAAGGAAAGGCAUUGGCUUCACAAAAGAGAUUUGAAGAGUUUUUGGAACCGGGGCUCUGCAAGCGCAAUUACUCAUGAUGAAUUGUGAACUUAUGACUAUUGCUUAAUUGUUGCCAUUGCCAUGUUUGAGAUUACGUGGGAUAAUAUUGCGUCAUAUAAUAUAGUACAUUGAGAUUGUUUUUUCUCCCUUUCUUUACACUAGUCUAUGGGUCACACUGUCAACACCACCACACCAAAUUUUUUUUCCGUCCUCCGCCACUGAGCUCCACCACUUCUCGUGGGCGUUAAUUCUUCUUUGGGCAACACGUACUCUGUUUGGUUCCUCAUUUUACAUACUCGUUUUUAAUUACCGUCGACUACGGUCGGUUGAUUUCGUUGUUUC